rnacentral:rRNA from 1 species
CCUACGGGCGGCAGCAGUGGGGAAUAUUGGACAAUGGAGGGAACCCUGAUCCAGCGACGCCGCGUGAGUGAAGAAGGAUUUCGGUAUGUAAAGCUCUAUCAGCAGGGAAGAAAGAAAUGACAGUACCUGACUAAGAAGCCCCGGCUAACUACGUGCCAGCAGCCGCGGUAAUACGGAGGGGGCAAGCGUUAUCCGGAUUUACUGGGUGUAAAGGGAGCGUAGGCGGCGAUGCAAGUCUGAAGUGAAAGGCGGGGGCUCAACCCCCGGACUGCUUUGGAAACUGUAUGGCUUGAGUGCAGGAGAGGUAAGUGGAAUUCCUAGUGUAGCGGUGAAAUGCGUAGAUAUUAGGAGGAACACCAGUGGCGAAGGCGGCUUACUGGACUGUAACUGACGUUGAGGCUCGAAAGCGUGGGGAGCAAACAGGAUUAGAUACCCGAGUAGUC